UUUAAAAGCACUUUGAAAAGAGGGUGAAAAGAACCUGAAACCGUUACGUGGAGAGCGUAUUGCAGCAGAGUGAAGGGUGCAUUUUGUUCAGCCUUUUAGGUGUACUCAGAAUGUUACUCGCCAGUCGUGAGCUUCCGGUGGUCGAUUCUAGGCUGCUGGGGGUGGAGGGCUCCCUUUGGGUGAGGACGAUCUGGAUAAUGCUGGGAUGCGACCCGUCUUGAAACACGGACCAAGGAGUCUAGCGUAUCUGCGAGUCGAAGGGUGGAAAAACCUGUGGGCGCAGUGAAAGCGAGCGUAAAAACGUUGCAGUUUGAGGCGGCAUACGAUCGUUGAUUGUAGGUCCGACCUAGAGCAGAUAUGCUAGGACCCGAAAGAUGGUGAACUAUGCUUGAGUAGGGUGAAGCCAGGAGAAAUCCUGGUGGAAGCUCGUAGCGGUGCUGACGUGCAAAUCGCUCGUCUAACUUGAGUAUAGGGGCGAAAGACUAAUCGAACCAUCUGGUAGCUGGUUCCUCCGAAGUUUCUCUCAGGAUAGCGGAACGAUUUUGUGUUGGUUGUGGGGU
rnacentral:rRNA from 1 species